rnacentral:lncRNA from 1 species
ACUGAGAUUCGAAAAUGAGUGGUUCCAUAUGAAUUGACAACUUAUGCAGAUGUGGUAAACAAAGCACUGAUAAUUGAAAGAGAAGUCAAUGAAGAACGCAUGGAAAGAGAAAAAAAGCAAAGAAAGAGAGCAAAAUCAAAUGAUACACAAGGGUAGAAUAAUAAAAACAUCAAAAGUUCAGCUAAGGGAGCAAUAGAUAAUAAGACUCAAUAGAUUGAUGGUGAGCGGUGCUCCAGAUGUGGCAAAAAUCAUGCGGAGAAGGAUUGCCAUUGGAAUACAGGUGUUUGUUUCAAAUGCGGUCAGAUGGAUCAUAAAAUUGCUAGCUGCCCACUAAAUACUGAAAAUCAAGUUGGCCAAAGAACUUAUGAAGGACAAAACAAGAGUGGUGAAUAGAUUUCUAAAAUCCAGAGAAGAGUUUAUGCUCUUACUCAAUAGAACGUACAGGCUUCCAAUGCAAUGGUGACAGGUAAGAAAAAUUUCGAGGACGAAAUUUAUUUUAGGAGGGAAGAAUGUAGUACUCGGCCCAUGUAGGCCUUAAACCCAAAAGUCUAAAAAAAAAAAAAUUUAAAGAAGACUCCCUGUGGGAGUCUUCUUCCCCCGUCGAUGACUCCUAAUCGGAGUCAGAAAGGCCGCCGGGGAGGAGUCAAACUCCUCCCCUCCGACUCUAUUUAAGGGGGGACCUUUCUCCCUUCCUCCCAUCAUGAAAACUCAGAGCGAAACGGCGAAGAUCGCUAGAAAUCGUCCGUGAAAAUCAUCACCGUGCUCGCCGCGAUUCCUCACUGGAGAGGUCGUCGGAGCUCGAGGUAAGCAUAUGGUUCUCUUUCUCUCUUCUCUCCCUUCCUUCCUAUGCCGGUGUGCACGUUCGCCGGCGACCGGAGUUGUCGGAUUUUGUCGUGGGAGAGGUUUCGAUUUUUCUGAUUUUCGGACGCCGGUGGUCGUCGCCGGCCAUCGAUUUGGGUUCCUUCGGAUGGCGAUGCGCUUUCCUCCGGCUGCCGACCAUUCUCGUGCCGGCCGACCGCCGAUCGGCCAACCUUAUGAGGGGACCAUUCGGUCCCCUGUUUCACUUAUUUCACCCAUGGGAGGCCAUGGGAAGAAGUAGAAGAAGGA